GAAAUGCGAUAAGUAGUGUGAAUUGCAGAAUUCAGUGAAUCAUCGAAUCUUUGAACGCACAUUGCGCCCGCCAGCACUCUGGCGGGCAUGCCUGUUCGAGCGUCAUUUCAACCCUCAGAACCCCUUGCGGGAUCUGGCGUUGGGGAUUGGCAUCCAGCCAGCCCCGAAAUCUAGUGGCGGUCCCUCCGCGACCUCCCCUGUGCAGUAGCGAUACCUCGCAGCGGGACAGCGGUCUGACCACGCCGUAAAACCCCCAACUUCUCAAGGUUGACCUCGAAUCAGGUAGGAAUACCCGCUGAACUUAAG
rnacentral:misc_RNA from 1 species